rnacentral:tRNA from 1 species
GGCCUGAUGGCGCAGCGGUUAGCAACGCUGACUCUUGUGCCGUAGGUCCCGGGUUCGAUUACCGGCCGGGGCA